GGCGGAAAUGCCACCACUCUCCAGCCAAACUUGUGAGGACUGAUUGCAGGGGCACUGGUGCUCCAGAUGUUGCACUAGAGGCGCUGCAAGUGUGAGCAGGUGAUGGUGGAUCUACAUCACAGUCUUAGUUGAUGUUCUUAACAUUUGUAUUGAUAUUUCCUCAUCAUCACUUGCAAGAGGAGCUCCAGAGCCUCAUUGCUGUGUGUGGUAAACACCAUGAUCUGGAAUCACAAAAAUGAUCAAAGAAGCAGCCUUGAUGGAUCAGUUCAAACAUGCUGGAGACAACGAAUUAAAUCAAGUAUUUCUUCAGGAUUAAUGGGGAAAACAUGAGCUUCACUAUGAAUUUCUCCUAAAAUUUUGAUUUAUAAUUUACUUUCUCAAGACUCAUUUUGAACUCCAGAGAUAAUCUUCUUGUGUAACCUCCUACUGAAAGAUUUCGAAAUGAAUGUACUGUCUGUAGGACAGGGGUAGGCUGAAUACCUGCUUCAAUGAGUACCUGCUUCAAGUCACCAUACACAUUUUCUUAUUGGAAAAACAACUAUUGGAGAACCAUCUUGCUCCCUUCAGCAAAACUGGAAACAAAUCAAGACGCUAAGAUUGCCACAGUUGCCAGAAGUUAAUGGUGCGGGUGUUAUGCAAGCAAGCUUCAGCAAAUGAAGUUACAAGACAGUGUGCCUCACCAGCCAGAAAUCAGGAAAGAUUAAACCUAUCCAUUUCAUCCAGCUGCUCCUUAAAUCAGUGCAACCCUUCCAGAUUAAUUUGUAUUGAAACAUGCAUUGACUCUUCAACUUAAUUGAGUACUUACUAUGUGUGAAUCACUGUACAAAAUAGAGGAAGGAAAAUGAGGGAGACAAAUAAGAUGUGGUCCCUGCCUCCAGUGUAUUAAAAAUUAGUUUCAAUGCAUAUUUUUUAUCUUCUUCUGUUAAUUGUGUCUCCAAGACAGGAAACAAAUAGAAAGGUAUAUUCUAUAAGUAUUUUAAAUUCCCUUAAUAAAUCACAAAAUAAAACAAAAACUCUUAAUGUGAACAAUUCAGGACAUCUUCAUUCCAUUUAUUUAUGGAAUUCUGAUAGGUAGGAUCCUUUUUGUUGAUUUGCCAAAUAUUUGGUAGACUUUAGAGAUAGUAACACAUUAUAGUUGGAGUCAAUUUGAAUUUAAUUUUAACCCCCAUUAGCUAUAGAUUGUCUGUUGGAAAACUGUAUUGCGUCUGUGCAUUUCUUGGAAAGGGGGAGGUGAAUUACAUCUGUUGUCUUGAUAGGCCUCUCUGCUUUCUAUGCUUUAGGGGUCUGCUGCUUUGAGUGAAUUAUUAGCGUGGAGAAGAGGAAGGUUUAGAUCAAACUUGGGAAUCCUUACUCAUGGAUCCAAGAUAGGGCAGGGAAGGAGCCAAACAGACUUGGAAAAUGUCUCUAUGAAAAUUUGGCUAUUUCAGUAUUCAUGGUGUUAUCUUUUAUGUUCUAUAAGUUGAGUAACUAUACAGUUUUUCUAAAAAAUGAUUUCUGAUCUGGGAGUAGGUCAUGAUUUUUCCGGUGUCAAGGCACUAAUAUAGUUGUGGACACUAGACAUUUUAUGCAGUGUCUGUGACACAUUUCAGUAUGUAUCAGGCAACAAUUGACACGUCCUUGUGUUGAGCAGUGUCCAUCUGAAUUGAAAAUGUGCCAGCUUUUUAACAUUAACAACAGACUUCUUAAUUAAGCUGCCAAUACAUACUGCCAAUAGUACUGCAUCUCUUC